GUCCCGGAAUUACGCGCUAGUUGAUAGUCAGCGACACCUCCCAGAAUCCAGAUAUUGAGAUUCUCUUGGCCGCCGGUUCGAGUCCGGCCCGGGGCACCA
rnacentral:tRNA from 1 species